rnacentral:rRNA from 1 species
UACGGAGGGGGCUAGCGUUGUUCGGAUUCAUUGGGCGUAAAGAGCGUGUAGGCGGCCAGGUAGGUCGGUUGUGAAAACUGGAGGCUCAACCUUCAGACGUCGACCGAAACCAUCUGGCUAGAGUCCGGGAGAGGAGAGUGGAAUUCCUGGUGUAGCGGUGAAAUGCGCAGAUAUCAGGAAGAACACCCGUGGCGAAAGCGGCUCUCUGGAACGGUACUGACGCUGAGACGCGAAAGCGUGGGGAGCGAACAGG